GCGUCUGUAGCCUAGUUGGUAAAGGCAGCACUCUAGCUAGUAGUAUGUGUCUCAGCAUAGCUGAGGUCGUGAGUUCAACUCUCACCAGACACA
rnacentral:tRNA from 1 species